GGAGGUAAUGUUUUGCUAAUUGAAGCACUUCAAGUUGGUGCUUUUCAGAAAUUAUUGCUACUAAUACAAGUUGGCUGUAGUGAAAGAACUAAGGAGAAGGCAAGUGAAUUGUUGAAAUUGUUGAAUUUGCAUAGAGGUAGGAUAGAGUGUAUUGAUUCUUUGGACUUGAAGAACUUAAAAAGGCCAUUUUGAAUUACCUUAGUUUAGUCCAUGUGUAUACAUAAAAAUAUCAUUUGUCAGUGUAAAAAAUUGAACAACCUAAAAAGGCCAUUUUGAAUUACCUUGGUUUAGUCCAUGUGUAUGCAUAAAAAAUUUCAUUUGUCAGUGUAAAAAAUUGGACAAGAAAAAAAUGUUCUGAACUAUUCUUUGGAUAUAACUUUGUAUUCAUUUUACGUUAUGAAUGUAUAAAGAAUUAUUGUGAAGUUGUAAGAAAAGGUCUACUGUGUCAAGUAAUUCGAAGAUGGUAUGUGUAGAAAUUUUAACUAGAGCCAUCAAAAAGGGCUUGGCCCGAGACGCCAGCCAAUCCAACCCACUGUUUAGGUAGUGUUGGGCUAGGUUAUUUUAAGGGGAUUUUUACAUAUACAUCCCAUAUAGCAAACCUUAUAACCGCCCAUGUUUAAGGUUUGUGUUUA
rnacentral:lncRNA from 1 species